rnacentral:rRNA from 1 species
AUCCUGUUAAGUCAGGCAACGAGCGAGACCCACGUCCACAGUUGCCAGCAGUACCCUCCGGGGUGAUGGGUACACGUGUGGAGACCGCCGCUGCUAAAGCGGAGGAAGGAAUGGGCAACGGUAGGUCAGUAUGCCCCGAAUCUCCCGGGCUACACGCGGGCUACAAUGGUUGGUACAAUGGGCAUCUACCCCGAAAGGGGAAGGAAAUCUCUUAAAGCCAAUCGUAGUUCGGAUUGAGGGCUGCAACUCGCCCUCAUGAAGCUGGAAUCCGUAGUAAUCGCGUUUCAACAGAACGCGGUGAAUACGUCCCUGCUCCUU